rnacentral:rRNA from 1 species
CCCUUAGAUGUCCGGGGCCGCACGCGCGCUACACUGAAGGAAUCAGCGUGGCUUUCUCCCUGACCCGAAAGGGUUGGGAAACCCGUUGAAUCUCCUUCGUGAUAGGGAUUGGGGCUUGAAAUUGUUCCCCAUGAACGAGGAAUUCCCAGUAAGCGCGAGUCAUAAGCUCGCGUUGAUUACGUCCCUGCCCUUUGUACACACCGCCCGUCGCUCCUACCGAUUAAGUGAUCCGGUGAAUAGUUCGGACUGCUGCAAUGCUUGGAUCCCGAGAAUUGCGGCGAAAGUUUAGUGAACCUUAUCACUUAGAGGAAGGAGAAGUCGUAACA